rnacentral:snRNA from 1 species
GUGCUCGCUUCGGCAGCACAUAUACUAAAACUGGAAAGAUACAGAGAAGAUUAGCAUGGCCCCUGCACAAGAAUGACAUGCAAAUUUGUGAAGCGUUCCAUAUUUUU